AGUGAACGCUGGCGGCAGGCCUAACACAUGCAAGUCGAGCGGCAGCGGGUCCUUCGGGAUGCCGGCGAGCGGCGGACGGGUGAGGAAUACAUCGGAAUCUGCCCUGUCGUGGGGGAUAACCUAGGGAAACUUAGGCUAAUACCGCAUACGACCUACGGGUGAAAGCGGGGGAUCGCAAGACCUCGCGCGACAGGAUGAGCCGAUGUCCGAUUAGCUAGUUGGCGGGGUAAAGGCCCACCAAGGCGACGAUCGGUAGCUGGUCUGAGAGGAUGAUCAGCCACACUGGGACUGAGACACGGCCCAGACUCCUACGGGAGGCAGCAGUGGGGAAUAUUGGACAAUGGGCGCAAGCCUGAUCCAGCCAUGCCGCGUGGGUGAAGAAGGCCUUCGGGUUGUAAAGCCCUUUUGUCCGGGAAGAAAUCGUCUGGGCUAAUACCCCGGGCGGAUGACGGUACCGGAAGAAUAAGCGCCGGCUAACUUCGUG
rnacentral:rRNA from 1 species